rnacentral:rRNA from 1 species
GGUUAAGCGACUAAGCGUACACGGUGGAUGCCCUGGCAGUCAGAGGCGAUGAAGGGCGUGCUAAUCUGCGAUAAGCGCCGGUAAGGUGAUAUGAACCGUUAUAACCGGCGAUACCCGAAUGGGGAAACCCAGUGUGACUCGUCACACUAUCAUUAACUGAAUCCAUAGGUUAAUGAGGCGAACCGGGGGAACUGAAACAUCUAAGUACCCCGAGGAAAAGAAAUCAACCGAGAUUCCCCCAGUAGCGGCGAGCGAACGGGGAGGAGCCCAGAGCCUGAAUCAGCAUGUGUGUUAGUGGAAGCGUCUGGAAAGGCGCGCGAUACAGGGUGACAGCCCCGUACACAAAAGCGCAUGUGCUGUGAGCUCGAUGAGUAGGGCGGGACACGUGGUAUCCUGUCUGAAUAUGGGGGGACCAUCCUCCAAGGCUAAAUACUCCUGACUGACCGAUAGUGAACCAGUACCGUGAGGGAAAGGCGAAAAGAACCCCGGCGAGGGGAGUGAAAAAGAACCUGAAACCGUGUACGUACAAGCAGUGGGAGCACAGGUUUACCUGUGUGACUGCGUACCUUUUGUAUAAUGGGUCAGCGACUUAUAUUCUGUAGCAAGGUUAACCGAAUAGGGGAGCCGCAGGGAAACCGAGUCUUAAUUGGGCGUUAAGUUGCAGGGUAUAGACCCGAAACCCGGUGAUCUAGCCAUGGGCAGGUUGAAGGUUGGGUAACACUAACUGGAGGACCGAACCGACUAAUGUUGAAAAAUUAGCGGAUGACCUGUGGCUGGGGGUGAAAGGCCAAUCAAACCGGGAGAUAGCUGGUUCUCCCCGAAAGCUAUUUAGGUAGCGCCUCGUGAAUUCAUCUCCGGGGGUAGAGCACUGUUUCGGCUAGGGGGCCAUCCCGGCUUACCAACCCGAUGCAAACUGCGAAUACCGGAGAAUGUUAUCACGGGAGACACACGGCGGGUGCUAACGUCCGUCGUGAAGAGGGAAACAACCCAGACCGCCAGCUAAGGUCCCAAAGUCAUGGUUAAGUGGGAAACGAUGUGGGAAGGCCCAGACAGCCAGGAUGUUGGCUUAGAAGCAGCCAUCAUUUAAAGAAAGCGUAAUAGCUCACUGGUCGAGUCGGCCUGCGCGGAAGAUGUAACGGGGCUAAACCAUGCACCGAAGCUGCGGCAGCGACGCUGAUGCGUUGUUGGGUAGGGGAGCGUUCUGUAAGCCUGCGAAGGUGGCCUGUGAGGGUUGCUGGAGGUAUCAGAAGUGCGAAUGCUGACAUAAGUAACGAUAAAGCGGGUGAAAAGCCCGCUCGCCGGAAGACCAAGGGUUCCUGUCCAACGUUAAUCGGGGCAGGGUGAGUCGACCCCUAAGGCGAGGCCGAAAGGCGUAGUCGAUGGGAAACGGGUUAAUAUUCCCGUACUUGGUGUUACUGCGAAGGGGGGACGGAGAAGGCUAUGUUGGCCGGGCGACGGUUGUCCCGGUUUAAGCGUGUAGGUGUGUGUUCCAGGUAAAUCCGGUUCACUUUAACACUGAGGCGUGACGACGAGGCACUACGGUGCUGAAGCAACAAAUGCCCUGCUUCCAGGAAAAGCCUCUAAGCAUCAGGUAACAUCAAAUCGUACCCCAAACCGACACAGGUGGUCAGGUAGAGAAUACCAAGGCGCUUGAGAGAACUCGGGUGAAGGAACUAGGCAAAAUGGUGCCGUAACUUCGGGAGAAGGCACGCUGACACGUAGGUGAAGUGAUUUACUCAUGGAGCUGAAGUCAGUCGAAGAUACCAGCUGGCUGCAACUGUUUAUUAAAAACACAGCACUGUGCAAACACGAAAGUGGACGUAUACGGUGUGACGCCUGCCCGGUGCCGGAAGGUUAAUUGAUGGGGUCAGCGCAAGCGAAGCUCCUGAUCGAAGCCCCGGUAAACGGCGGCCGUAACUAUAACGGUCCUAAGGUAGCGAAAUUCCUUGUCGGGUAAGUUCCGACCUGCACGAAUGGCGUAAUGAUGGCCAGGCUGUCUCCACCCGAGACUCAGUGAAAUUGAACUCGCUGUGAAGAUGCAGUGUACCCGCGGCAAGACGGAAAGACCCCGUGAACCUUUACUAUAGCUUGACACUGAACAUUGAGCCUUGAUGUGUAGGAUAGGUGGGAGGCUUUGAAGUGUGGACGCCAGUCUGCAUGGAGCCGACCUUGAAAUACCACCCUUUAAUGUUUGAUGUUCUAACGUGGACCCGUAAUCCGGGUUGCGGACAGUGUCUGGUGGGUAGUUUGACUGGGGCGGUCUCCUCCUAAAGAGUAACGGAGGAGCACGAAGGUUGGCUAAUCCUGGUCGGACAUCAGGAGGUUAGUGCAAUGGCAUAAGCCAGCUUGACUGCGAGCGUGACGGCGCGAGCAGGUGCGAAAGCAGGUCAUAGUGAUCCGGUGGUUCUGAAUGGAAGGGCCAUCGCUCAACGGAUAAAAGGUACUCCGGGGAUAACAGGCUGAUACCGCCCAAGAGUUCAUAUCGACGGCGGUGUUUGGCACCUCGAUGUCGGCUCAUCACAUCCUGGGGCUGAAGUAGGUCCCAAGGGUAUGGCUGUUCGCCAUUUAAAGUGGUACGCGAGCUGGGUUUAGAACGUCGUGAGACAGUUCGGUCCCUAUCUGCCGUGGGCGCUGGAGAACUGAGGGGGGCUGCUCCUAGUACGAGAGGACCGGAGUGGACGCAUCACUGGUGUUCGGGUUGUCAUGCCAAUGGCACUGCCCGGUAGCUAAAUGCGGAAGAGAUAAGUGCUGAAAGCAUCUAAGCACGAAACUUGCCCCGAGAUGAGUUCUCCCUGAGACUUAGAGUCUCCUGAAGGAACGUUGAAGACGACGACGUUGAUAGGCCGGGUGUGUAAGCGCAGCGAUGCGUUGAGCUAACCGGUACUAAUGAACCGUGAGGCUUAACCUU